rnacentral:rRNA from 1 species
ACUCCUACGGGAGGCAGCAGUGAGGAAUUUUCUGCAAUGGGCGAAAGCCUGACAGAGCAAUACCGCGUGAGGGAAGAAGGCUUACUGAGUUGUAAACCUCUGUUACCUAAGGAGGAAGAUCUGACGUUACUUAGGAGACGAAGCAUCGGCUAACUCCGUGCCAGCAGCCGCGGUAAUACA